AGAGUUUGAUCAUGGCUCAGAAUGAACGCUGGCGGCGCGCCUAAUACAUGCAAGUCGAGCGAGAAGACGUAGCAAUACGUUUGUAAAGCGGCGAACGGGUGAGGAAUACAUGGGUAACCUACCCUCGAGUGGGGAAUAACUAGCCGAAAGGUUAGCUAAUACCGCGUACGCUUCUUGGACUUCGGUUCAGGGAGGAAAGCGAUACCGUGGGUAUCGCGCUCUUGGAUGGGCUCAUGUCCUAUCAGCCUGUUGGUGAGGUAACGGCUCACCAAGGCUUCGACGGGUAGCUGGUCUGAGAGGACGAUCAGCCACACUGGCACUGCGACACGGGCCAGACUCCUACGGGAGGCAGCAGUAAGGAAUAUUGCGCAAUGGGCGAAAGCCUGACGCAGCGACGCCGCGUGGGGGAUGAAGGUCUUCGGAUUGUAAACCCCUUUCGGGAGGGAAGAUGGAAUGGGGUAACCCAUUCGGACGGUACCUCCAGAAGCAGCCACGGCUAACUUCGUGCCAGCAGCCGCGGUAAUACGAAGGUGGCAAGCGUUAUUCGGAUUUACUGGGCGUACAGGGAGCGUAGGCGGUUCGGUAAGCCCUUUGUGAAAUCUCCAGGCUUAACCUGGAACAGUCGGAGGGGACUGCCGGGCUAGAGGACGGGAGAGGAGCGCGGAAUUCCCGGUGUAGCGGUGAAAUGCGUAGAGAUCGGGAGGAAGGCCGGUGGCGAAGGCGGCGCUCUGGAACGUUUCUGACGCUGAGGCUCGAAAGCGUGGGGAGCAAACAGGAUUAGAUACCCUAGUAGUCC
rnacentral:rRNA from 1 species